rnacentral:rRNA from 1 species
GAUGAACGCUAGCGGCAGGCUUAAUACAUGCAAGUCAAGGGGUCAGCAAUGGCACCGGCGGACGGGUGAGUAACGCGUACACAACGUACCUUUAACUGGGGGAUAGCAUUUGGAAACGAGUGGUAAUACCGCAUGUGGUUGCAGGGAGGCAUCUUUUUGCAACUAAAACUCAGGUGGUUAAAGAUCGGUGUGCGUCCGAUUAGCUUGUUGGUGAGGUAAUGGCUCACCAAGGCGACGAUCGGUAGGGGGCGUGAGAGCGUGAACCCCCACACGGGUACUGAGACACGGACCCGACUCCUACGGGAGGCAGCAGUAAGGAAUAUUGGUCAAUGGAGGCAACUCUGAACCAGCCAUGCCGCGUGGAGGAAGAAGGCGCUAAUGCGUUGUAAAACUUCUUUUGGGUGGAAGAAAAUGGUCAAUUUAUUGACAACUGACGGUACCAUCAGAAUAAGCACCGGCUAACUCCGUGCCAGCAGCCGCGGUAAAAAGUGUGUGUA